CAAAACGAAGAACUUAGCAGAGAUGCUUUGGUGCCUUCGGGAACUCUGAGACAGGUGCUGCAUGGCUGUCGUCAGCUCGUGUUGUGAAAUGUUGGGUUAAGUCCCGCAACGAGCGCAACCCUUAUCCUUUGUUGCCAGCGGUUCGGCCGGGAACUCAAAGGAGACUGCCAGUGAUAAACUGGAGGAAGGUGGGGAUGACGUCAAGUCAUCAUGGCCCUUACGAGUAGGGCUACACACGUGCUACAAUGGCGCAUACAAAGAGAAGCGACCUCGCGAGAGCAAGCGGACCUCAUAAAGUGCGUCGUAGUCCGGAUUGGAGUCUGCAACUCGACUCCAUGAAGUCGGAAUCGCUAGUAAUCGUAGAUCAGAAUGCUACGGUGAAUACGUUCCCGGGUCUUGUACACACCGA
rnacentral:rRNA from 1 species